rnacentral:rRNA from 1 species
GUGGGGAAUCUUAGACAAUGGGCGCAAGCCUGAUCUAGCCAUGCCGCGUGAGCGAUGAAGGCCUUAGGGUUGUAAAGCUCUUUCGUGGGGGAAGAUAAUGACUGUACCCCAAGAAGAAGCCCCGGCUAACUCCGUGCCAGCAGCCGCGGUAAUACGGAGGGGGCUAGCGUUGUUCGGAAUUACUGGGCGUAAAGCGCACGUAGGCGGACUGGAAAGUCAGGGGUGAAAUACCGGGGAUCAACCCCGGAACUGCCUUUGAAACUCCCAGUCUUGAGUUCGAGAGAGGUGAGUGGAAUUCCGAGUGUAGAGGUGAAAUUCGUAGAUAUUCGGAGGAACACCAGUGGCGAAGGCGGCUCACUGGCUCGAUACUGACGCUGAGGUGCGAAAGCGUGGGGAGCAAACAGGAUUAGAAACCCUGGUAGUCC